GGAAGUUGGAAACGGAGACGGAGAAGUGAACGCCGGUGAGAAAGAGUAAUGCGCGCCUGGGAGUGCUUCGGUCGGAAGAGAGAGUGUGGAGUGAAGUGUUUGAGAGAUAAAAGAAAAGUGAAACAAGGCUGUAUGUAAGUGUAUAUAUAGCUGUGGGAAGUGGGGGACAGCUGCGCCAGGUGGCGUGCCGUGACUGGCUUGGCGUGGAGAAGGCUUUGAUGACG
rnacentral:lncRNA from 1 species